rnacentral:rRNA from 1 species
UCGAGCGAGAUCUUCGGAUCUAGCGGCGGACGGGUGAGUAACGCGUGGGAACGUGCCUCUUGCUACGGAAUAGCCCUGGGAAACUGGGAGUAAUACCGUAUGUGCCCUUCGGGGGAAAGAUUUAUCGGCAAGAGAUCGGCCCGCGUUGGAUUAGGUAGUUGGUGGGGUAAUGGCCUACCAAGCCGACGAUCCAUAGCUGGUUUGAGAGGAUGAUCAGCCACACUGGGACUGAGACACGGCCCAGACUCCUACGGGAGGCAGCAGUGGGGAAUCUUAGACAAUGGGCGCAAGCCUGAUCUAGCCAUGCCGCGUGAGCGAUGAAGGCCUUAGGGUUGUAAAGCUCUUUCAGCGAGGAAGAUAAUGACUGUACUCGCAGAAGAAGCCCCGGCUAACUCCGUGCCAGCAGCCGCGGUAAUACGGAGGGGGCUAGCGUUGUUCGGAAUUACUGGGCGUAAAGCGCACGUAGGCGGACUGGAAAGUCAGGGGUGAAAUCCCGGGGCUCAACCCCGGAACUGCCUUUGAAACUCCCAGUCUUGAGUUCGAGAGAGGUGAGUGGAAUUCCGAGUGUAGAGGUGAAAUUCGUAGAUAUUCGGAGGAACACCA